AGAAUCAACGCUGGCGGCGUGCCUAACACAUGCAAGUCGAACGAGAAAGUGGAGCAAUCCAUGAGUAAAGUGGCGACCGGGUGAGUAACACGUGACUAACCUACCUUCGAGUGGGGGAUAACCUCGGGAAACCGGGCUAAUACCGCAUAAAAUCUUUGGAUCGGAAGAACUGGAGAUCGAAUGGAGCAAUUCGCUUGAAGAGGGGGUCGCGGCUGAUUAGCUAGUUGGCGGGGUAAUGGCCCACAAGGCGAUGAUCGGUA
rnacentral:rRNA from 1 species